rnacentral:sRNA from 12 species
GAAGUGCGAACCGAGCGGCUGCCUUGGCAGCGCGAGACUCGGAGUGGUCGUCAGCAAUGGCGACCUACA